AGUUUGAUCCUGGCUCAGGAUGAACGCUAGCUACAGGCUUAACACAUGCAAGUCGAGGGGCAGCAUUUUAGUUUGCUUGCAAACUAAAGAUGGCGACCGGCGCACGGGUGAGUAACACGUAUCCAACCUGCCGAUAACUCGGGGAUAGCCUUUCGAAAGAAAGAUUAAUAUCCGAUAGUAUAUUAAAACCGCAUGUUUAACUUUAAAGAAUUCGGGUAACGAGGGGAUCGUUCCUAUUGUUUGUGGCGGGGUAACGGCCCCCACAAAGUUACGAGGGGUAGGGUUUGAGAGAGACGUCCCCCCACAUGGGAAAUGGGCCCCGGUCCAAAUUCCUGGGGGGAGCACCAGGGAGAAUUUUGGCCAAUGGCGGAGUUUUGACCCAGCCAAGUAGCGUGAAGGAUGACUCCCCUAUGGGUUGUAAACUUUUUUAAAAGGGAAUAAAGUUUUCCACGUGUGGGAUUUUGUAUGUACCAUAUGAAUAAGGAUCGGCUAACUCCGUGCCAGCAGCCGCGGUAAUACGGAGGAUCCGAGCGUUAUCCGGAUUUAUUGGGUUUAAAGGGAGCGUAGGUGGAUUGUUAAGUCAGUUGUGAAAGUUUGCGGCUCAACCGUAAAAUUGCAGUUGAAACUGGCAGUCUUGAGUACAGUAGAGGUGGGCGGAAUUCGUGGUGUAGCGGUGAAAUGCUUAGAUAUCACGAAGAACUCCGAUUGCGAAGGCAGCUCACUAGACUGCAACUGACACUGAUGCUCGAAAGUGUGGGUAUCAAACAGGAUUAGAUACCCUGGUAGUCCACACAGUAAACGAUGAAUACUCGCUGUUUGCGAUAUACAGUAAGCGGCCAAGCGAAAGCAUUAAGUAUUCCACCUGGGGAGUACGCCGGCAACGGUGAAACUCAAAGGAAUUGACGGGGGCCCGCACAAGCGGAGGAACAUGUGGUUUAAUUCGAUGAUACGCGAGGAACCUUACCCGGGCUUAAAUUGCAUUUGAAUAAUCUGGAAACAGGUUAGCCGCAAGGCAAAUGUGAAGGUGCUGCAUGGUUGUCGUCAGCUCGUGCCGUGAGGUGUCGGCUUAAGUGCCAUAACGAGCGCAACCCUUAUCUUUAGUUACUAACAGGUCAUGCUGAGGACUCUAGAGAGACUGCCGUCGUAAGAUGUGAGGAAGGUGGGGAUGACGUCAAAUCAGCACGGCCCUUACGUCCGGGGCUACACACGUGUUACAAUGGGGGGUACAGAAGGCAGCUACCUGGCGACAGGAUGCUAAUCCCAAAAACCUCUCUCAGUUCGGAUCGAAGUCUGCAACCCGACUUCGUGAAGCUGGAUUCGCUAGUAAUCGCGCAUCAGCCAUGGCGCGGUGAAUACGUUCCCGGGCCUUGCACACACCGCCCGUC
rnacentral:rRNA from 1 species